GCCAGUCUGGCUCAGUUGGAAGAGCACGCGACUCUUAAUCCUGGGGUCGUGAAUUCAAACUCCACGCUGGGUA
rnacentral:tRNA from 1 species